rnacentral:rRNA from 1 species
ACUUGAGAGUCGAGCGGGAUCAGGGGUAGCUUGCUACCCGCUGACGAGCGGCGGACGGGUGAGUAAUGCAUAGGAAUCUGCCCGGUAGUGGGGGAUAACCUGGGGAAACCCAGGCUAAUACCGCAUACGUCCUACGGGAGAAAGGGGGCUCCGGCUCCCGCUAUUGGAUGAGCCUAUGUCGGAUUAGCUAGUUGGUGAGGUAAAGGCUCACCAAGGCAACGAUCCGUAGCUGGUCUGAGAGGAUGAUCAGCCACAUCGGGACUGAGACACGGCCCGAACUCCUACGGGAGGCAGCAGUGGGGAAUAUUGGACAAUGGGGGCAACCCUGAUCCAGCCAUGCCGCGUGUGUGAAGAAGGCCCUCGGGUUGUAAAGCACUUUCAGCGAGGAAGAACGCCUAGUGGUUAAUACCCAUUAGGAAAGACAUCACUCGCAGAAGAAGCACCGGCUAACUCC